UAAGCACCUAAUCGAUUCGUAACAGACUGAGCUUCAGUCCAUGGUUCCAGGCAAGGCUGGUCCCUCAGUAGGGUGGGGGAGGGAGGCUCCAUGAAUUCCUGGGUUGACUGGCAUCCUCAGCUUUAUCAUCAUCCCCCAGUCACUGGAGGGUGAAGGCAAGAAGCAACAGUGAAAGCCACUUAAGCAAGCCCCUUUGAUUUAAUGUUUGAUUUUAGGCUACGUGUUGGUCUGCUCGGGCCGCCAUGGUUUACGAGAAAGGUAAUAUUUAGAUGUGACUUUAGAGAGAAAACAUUCGCAUUUCUAUCCUUCAAUCAAUCAAGACUGCAACAACUUCAUUUUAACGAGCACCCAGAUGACUCUGUUGCAGAUAAUAUAUCAAGUCACUGAGAAAUGCUGUGGCAAAUGAAUUCACUUCAACCAGAAAACCAGGAACCCGAGUCUUGUGCCAGACAAGAGGCCUCUGCCAUCCACCCUGUUUGUUUGGGGCCUCUAAGAAAUAGAUAAUGGCUCUUUCAAUGGGAGGAGGGGGUCAAAAUAAAUGAAGCCUCAGUUUUAUAUAUAAAACUUCUCUCCUCCUCUCAAAAUGAGACAAUAGCCUGAUGUGUGAAGUUGGACUGGGGUCUCUUCUCUUCCUCUAAGUGUUCUAGAUGAGCUUCGGAACCUUCCCACAUUCUAUGCACAGGGCAGAGAAGACUCAGAAUGCUAAUUAUUUCUUUAACAUCUCCAUCUGUUUACUCUUGAUCUAACUUACCUUUGUCUCUGGAAGAAAACAAUUCAAACAUAAAAUGUUAGAGAGGUCCUUGCUAAGGGGACUAGGCAGGGAAGAGAGUGAAUAUUACAUCUAGGAAUCAUUUUAUGAACUACUCCUAAGGCAGUAGAGCUUUGCUCUUGAUCAGUAAACACCAAUCUUAGAAUGGGGGCAGUUGGGUAAAUGGCAAAGCCAAUGAGGAAACAGAGUGGAAAAAGGAACAGGCAAACACUCACUUCCCAACUUUCCCAGAUAAUGAGCCCAGACAUCUCCCCCAGGCACCCACUUCUUGGUCACCAGCAUCUCUAGCACAGGAAAAUGUCUUAAACAAUUUUUUUGAGUAAUGAUUUCCUUAACUUGAUGCCAGGCAAAUCUCAUUCUUUCUCUGGGAAGGAUAUACUUUGGGAUUCCUGCUACAAAUUAAAUGGUUUGGAUGAGUUUGGAAGAAGAUCAUUUAAGGACAAUCAACACUAUAUAGUUCCGUACACACACAUACACACUGCAAAAAGGAAAUACUGAAAGUGAACAAGAACCCCGAGGCUGAAGUCCAGGGAGGAACUUCUGUGAGGAAGGAUGGCAGCCACAGGGCACAACCCAAACUCAGGUAGGGCUCUGAAUCUCUACUUUGAAGUCCAGGCCUACCAAGAAAUUAAAACAUAAAUAUAGAAAAUCAUAUAGCAGUGGGGGAACCUGCAUGGUUUUUUGUUUUUUUUUUUUUUUUGCUACAGGCUUCCUUCCGGGAUAGCAUUAGGAGAUAUACCUAAUGUUAAAUGACGAGUUAAUGGGUGCAGCACACCAACAUGGCACAUGUAUACAUAUGUAACAAACCUGCACAUUGUGCACAUACCAAAACAGAUAUAUAGACCAAUGGAACAGAACAGAGGCCUCAGAAAUAACACCACACAUCUACAACCAUCUGAUCUUUGACAAACUAUAGGUCAUUUAAAUCGCUUGUCAUUUGGCAGAAAGAAGAAUAUUUUUACCUUGAUAGUAAUGAACAAGAUUUAUUCAUUUCUAUAGCCUACAGUACUUAACCGCCUAAAAUGCUGACACAUAUGAAGGGCUCAAAUAAGGUUCUGUUGAGUUGCAUUGAAAUUGCUUUUAGACAAUCUGGCAGAUGGUACUUUUUUAUUACAUAGAAAGUUUUCCUGGGGGAGAACAUACCAAAUUACUUUUUAAAAAAAAGAAGUUAAGUGGUCACACAGAAU
rnacentral:lncRNA from 1 species